AUGAUAAGGUUGAAUGCAGCCUUUUUGUAGAAGUGAACCUUCUGCUUUAAACCAUCAAAUUGCGGGAAAGCCCUAAAGCAAUCUUAACUAACCAAGUAUAGUAAUAUAACUUGGGGCGCAGGUAAUGACUCGCGAUACAGUAAAAUCAAGAUUGAUACCCGAAAAGGAAUGGGUAAUCCGCAGCCAAGCACCGACUGCUGUAAAUUCAGUAAGGGUGUGCAGUUCAUCGACUAAAUGUUGGUUAGCGUAAGCUUAAGAUAUAGUCAAGCCUCAUUCGAAAGAAUGCA
rfam:Diaporthe ampelina DA_912_scaffold_v01_29, whole genome shotgun sequence.